GAGACAGCAGGAAGAAGAGAAAGACAACAGAUCCACUCUCUCUUUCUUAACAUUCUUCACAAUCACAAAUCUAAAUACAUACAAGUUACUUAUUGCCAUUAAUCGAAAUACAAUACACAAGGAAAAAGCUAGUUUUAUCUUACUGUUUGGGUUUUGCUUUUUCCUCGUGUUGAAGUUCUCAUUUUUUUGACUCUGCCCACAAUCUGUGGCCAGCUUCAAAUCAUUACUCUCCUUUCCUUUUGUCUUAAAAAAGCUAGGUCUUAAGUCAUCCUUCUCUUCAAUUAUCCCCGUCUACAUUCUCUAAUUGAUGUCUUUUUAUUUUCUACUUUCUGAGAUUUGGUUGCCUCUGUUUUUGUUUAUUAUUAUUAUGUUGGGACGGACGGAAAAGUGAUAAAAUGUUGUGAGCGAAGCGAUGAGUGUGUUGUUGGUUGAGAAAUAUGGGAUGUGUCUUUGGGCGAGAAGUAUCGGCGGCCAAGUCAUUUGAGCGAAACGACGGGGAAGUCAUUAGAGUUGAGAGGAAAGUAACGGAACGCGGUGAGACUCGGAAUGGUCUGAAUCAGAAUGAGGGGAAUAAUGAAGAAGGGAGUGUACGGCCAAGGGGAGACAAACGACGGUCUUCACGACCGAAUCCACGGCUGAGUAAUCCACCAAAGCAUGUGCACGGUGAACAGGUGGCAGCGGGAUGGCCUUCCUGGCUCUCCGCUGUUGCUGGAGAAGCCAUCAGUGGCUGGACCCCACGCCGUGCAGAUACAUUCGAGAAGCUCGAUAAGAUUGGGCAAGGUACAUAUAGUAAUGUGUACAAAGCAAGGGAUACUUUGACUGGGCAAAUUGUGGCAUUGAAGAAGGUACGGUUUGACAAUUUGGAGCCUGAGAGUGUGAAAUUCAUGGCUAGGGAAAUUUUAAUUUUGCGCCGAUUGGAUCAUCCAAAUGUUGUAAAAUUGGAAGGUUUAGUAACCUCAAGGAUGUCCUGUAGUUUGUAUCUGGUGUUUAAGUACAUGGAGCAUGAUUUGGCUGGUCUUGCUGCCAGCCCAGGAAUCAAGUUCACUGAGCCUCAGGUCAAAUGUUAUAUGCGCCAGCUAUUAUCUGGGUUGGAACACUGUCACAACCGUAAUGUGCUGCAUCGUGAUAUUAAGGGAUCAAAUCUUCUUAUUGACAAUAAGGGAAUUCUUAACAUUGCUGAUUUUGGAUUAGCAUCCUUUUUUGAUCCAAAACACAAGCAGCCGAUGACUAGUAGGGUUGUUACCCUAUGGUAUCGACCCCCUGAACUUCUUCUUGGUGCCACUGAUUAUGGUGUUGGUGUGGACCUUUGGAGUGCUGGGUGUAUUCUGGCGGAGUUAUUGGCUGGGAAGCCUAUCAUGCCUGGUCGCACUGAGGUGGAGCAACUACACAAGAUAUUUAAAUUGUGUGGCUCUCCUUCUGAAGAAUAUUGGAAGAAGUCGAAGUUGCCACAUGCCACUAUAUUUAAGCCUCAGCAAUCUUACAAAAGAUGCAUAGCAGAGACUUUUAAAGACUUUCCACCAUCAUCACUGCCACUGAUUGAGACACUUCUUGCAAUUGAUCCAGCUGAACGUCAAACUGCUACUGCCGCAUUGAGGAGUGAAUUCUUCACAACCAAGCCUUAUGCCUGUGAGCCUUCUAGCCUUCCAAAAUAUCCUCCCAGCAAAGAGAUGGAUGCUAAACUACGAGAUGAAGAAGCUAGAAGGUUGAGAGCUGCUGGAAAAGCUAAUGCUGAAAUGAAGAAAGCACGUUCACGUGAUCGAGCUGUAAGGGCAAUGCCAGCUCUAGAAGCCAAUGCUGAGCUUCAAGCCAAUCUUGAUAUGCGGCGGCUAAUAACACAUGCAAAUGCGAAGAGCAAGAGCGAGAAGUUUCCUCCUCCACACCAAGAUGGAGCUCUUGGCUAUCCAUUGGGUUCCGUACACCACAUUGAUCCUGUGUUUGAUCCUCCCGAUGUCCCUUUUAGUUCCAUGAAUUUCUCUUAUGCAAAAGCACCUAUCCAGACCUGGUCUGGCCCUUUGGUGGACCCAGCGUCUGUGGGUGCUCCAAGAAGAAAGAAGCACACGACAGGUGAUGGGCAUGCCCACUCAAAGUCAUCAAAGAAAUAUACAAAUUCUGGUCGAAUCUAAAAAGACAAAACAUUGUAAUAUAACUUCUACUUUUCCGUGAGAUUAUUCAUGAGGCUGCAAAAGCUGCUGAUCCGGUGUUUCAUAAAUCCAGACCCGGGAAAGCCAGUUAAAUUGUAUGGAGAGGACCCAGCUUAUGCUGUUAAUAUUAUGGUUACAUCGACCCUCAUAUCUGAAGAUGACUUUGUUCUAAAAGUUUUUGGAGCCUAAUGAGUAUGAGAUUUUAUUUUCUUAGCUCCAUUCUAAGAAAUCUCUGUAAACCAUGCAAAUAGUCUGCAAAUCAACUCAAGGAAUAAUGUCUGAGGCCGGUAGAGGUGUUAGGCUAUUUCUAAAGAUUCGGACAUUUGGUUUAGUUUUUAGAGUACACUGUGAAAUGUUUUCACAUUCAACUCUGCAAUUUUGGUUGCUGGGAAACUAUGGAACCAAACCUGGCAAGAUAUUCUAUAUUUUUUGCCCGUAGAAUGACUCUGUCGAUAGGGAAGAUCUUCGGAGAACCACCCUCAAGCUGAAAAUCUAUAUAUGCUUCUUCGAUUGCUAGGAAAAUCGGUGAAAAUAGAGAGAUUUUGUUAGGCUGUACUAUUUUUGUUGAAUCAAAAUACAUGAAUUUUUCAUGCUUCAACCAAAUGUUGAUCUUGAUUCAACAUCUGUUUCGUUUGUUACAUAAUAUUUCCACCAUUUGUGACUAAAAAGAUUCCCCUCGCACUUUUUCUUUCGGCUUUCACUUUUUCUUUAACCAUUCUUUUCCCUACACUAACCAAAGCUAAAUUCUAACUGAACCAAAAAAGAGUUUGCCGCCAAGAAGAGAAGAUUAGUUACAAGAAGACCAGCAGGUGGGUGUUGACGGGUAGUUUUAUUGAAUUUAGAAACUAGUAGAAUUUGCUCUAGAAAUUUCACGUGCUACGCAUACCAAGAAAGAUAACUGUGCACCAAUUUAAGAACCUCUAUAUAUUGUUUUAAGUGCCCAGGUUUCUAACUCCGAGUUUUAAGCUUGAAUCUCUCUAAAGCUUUGAUCCCAGUGUUUGCUUGCUCUAAAAAGAGCAUUUUUUUAGGUUUCCAGUGUGAGGUAGGAGUUGGCUGAGUUUAUAACAAAGAAAUGAGACCACCUCCUCCAGGUGGGCCUGGCUUGGGUCCUCCUGGUCUUGGUCCUGGAGGUCCUCCAGCUCCCGGGCCCAGACCGCUGGGCUUGCUUGGCGGCUUGUGCAACGCUUUUUCUUCUUGCCUGUAUGUUAUAUGUUGUUGCUGGUUACUACAAGACUGCUUUGGUGGUCCACCGGCUCCACCUGGACCCAUCGGACCUCCAACACCAGCACCACCUGAACCUCCAUUUGCCCCAGGUCCUCCCCCUCCAAUAGGGCCACCUGGACCUCCACUUGGCCCAGGCCCUCCACCUGGUGGACCCCCAGCACCGGCUCCGCCACCUCCUCCUCCAUGAUGUUGAGGGUUCAAUACCUAUACCUAGUGUAGACAUGCAUCUUAGUUUUACUAAUAAUAACUAUGAAUUGAUUAGUGAAGUCGUGGGGUGUGUGUGUGUGUGUAUGGACUUCAAUUAAAUCAGCCCAAGAAAAGUUGAUCCAACGGUACAUUUUAAUACCGGUAAUAAUUGCAGAAUCAUUAUCUUGACAA